GGCUAUAUGUCUUCUGAUCGUCUUGAUGGCAUAUAUGAGGACCUGCAAUACUGAACCUGGAAGUUAGUCGUUGAGGCAGUGGUCAUGGUAGUGAUAUCUACUGCCAGAACAUAAACGUUUGGCCCUCCUUGUUGCCACGAAGGAUUAUGAUCUACUGGAUUUACAGAACCAGUUAAUGGCAUGAUGCUGGCAGUAGUAAUGGAGGGUUGUGAUUUCUGGAUGGAAUAGGACGGAUUGGCGUCCUCUUCUCACGAAACACACUGACACAAAAUUUCUGGUUUCUGACGUACAAGGAUUAUUUACUAUGAACAAAUAUUGCAAUGUUCAUUCGUAGUACUGUUUGUUGAGGCGAUGCCUCUCCUACAGGCGCGAAGAGGAAGGUGGGGACACGCCAUGGCAGAGGCCAGUGCCGAAUCUACGUCUGCUGGCAGAGGCGCGUGGUUGACAGGAGGAGCCGGGGAGGCAUGACGGUGGACAUGUGGAUGUUAUCGUGGCAUUGACACAUUUCGCCCUACCAACACUGCAUACCAACGUGACUGAAUGUUAUCGUGGCUUAGAUGCCCUAUCAAAUUCUUGCUUGACUUUUUGGUUUUGUAUGCUCGGAUGUAUGUUUCAGUUCCUACAUGGUAUUUCUCAUGUGGAGUUGAAACCACAUUUGGUUGGUCC
rnacentral:rRNA from 1 species